UACGGGAGGCAGCAGUGAAAUUUUUGGACAAUGGGGAAACCUGAUCCAUGCAUCCACGUGUGCAAUGAAGGCCUUCGGGUUGUAAAGCACUUUUGGCAGGAAAGAAACGGCGCAGGAUAAUACCCGUGCAACUGUCAGGUACCUGCAGAAUAAGCACCGGCCUAACUACAUGCCAGCAGCCGCGGUAGCCGUAAGUGCAAGCGUUAAUCGGAAUUACUGGGCGUAAAGCGUGCGCAGGCAGUUCGGAAGAAGAUGUGAAAUCCCAGAGCUUAACUUUGGAACUGCAUUUUUAACUACCGAGCUAGAGAGUGUGUCAGAGGGAGGUGGAAUUCCGUGUAGCGGUGAAAUGCGUAGAUAUGCGGAGGAACACCGAUGGCGAAACAGCCUCCUGGGGGUAACACUGGCGCUCGUGCACGAAAGCGUGGGGGCAAACAGGAUUAGAUACCCUGGUAG
rnacentral:misc_RNA from 1 species